rnacentral:rRNA from 1 species
GGUUAAGCGACUAAGCGUACACGGUGGAUGCCCUGGCAGUCAGAGGCGAUGAAGGACGUGCUAAUCUGCGAAAAGCGUCGGUAAGGUGAUAUGAACCGUUAUAGCCGGCGAUGUCCGAAUGGGGAAACCCAGUGCAAUUCGUUGCACUAUCGUUUGAUGAAUACAUAGUCAAACGAGGCGAACCGGGGGAACUGAAACAUCUAAGUACCCCGAGGAAAAGAAAUCAACCGAGAUUCCCCCAGUAGCGGCGAGCGAACGGGGAGCAGCCCGGAGUCUGAAUCAGCUUGUGUGUUAGUGGAAGCGUCUGGAAAGUCGCAGGGUACAGGGUGAUACUCCCGUACACUAAAACACACAGGUUGUGAACUCGAAGAGUAGGGCGGGACACGUGGUAUCCUGUCUGAAUAUGGGGGGACCAUCCUCCAAGGCUAAAUACUCCUGACUGACCGAUAGUGAACCAGUACCGUGAGGGAAAGGCGAAAAGAACCCCGGCGAGGGGAGUGAAAAAGAACCUGAAACCGUGUACGUACAAGCAGUAGGAGCCUCUUUAUGGGGUGACUGCGUACCUUUUGUAUAAUGGGUCAGCGACUUAUAUUCUGUAGCAAGGUUAACCGUAUAGGGGAGCCGCAGGGAAACCGAGUCUUAACUGGGCGUUAAGUUGCAGGGUAUAGACCCGAAACCCGGUGAUCUAGCCAUGGGCAGGUUGAAGGUUGGGUAACACUAACUGGAGGACCGAACCGACUAAUGUUGAAAAAUUAGCGGAUGACUUGUGGCUGGGGGUGAAAGGCCAAUCAAACCGGGAGAUAGCUGGUUCUCCCCGAAAGCUAUUUAGGUAGCGCCUCGUGAAUUCAUCUUCGGGGGUAGAGCACUGUUUCGGCUAGGGGGUCAUCCCGACUUACCAACCCGAUGCAAACUACGAAUACCGAAGAAUGUUAUCACGGGAGACACACGGCGGGUGCUAACGUCCGUCGUGAAGAGGGAAACAACCCAGACCGCCAGCUAAGGUCCCAAAGUCAUGGUUAAGUGGGAAACGAUGUGGGAAGGCCCAGACAGCCAGGAUGUUGGCUUAGAAGCAGCCAUCAUUUAAAGAAAGCGUAAUAGCUCACUGGUCGAGUCGGCCUGCGCGGAAGAUGUAACGGGGCUAAACCAUGCACCGAAGCUGCGGCAGCGACACUAUGUGUUGUUGGGUAGGGGAGCGUUCUGUAAGCCGUUGAAGGUGGCCUGUGAGGGUUGCUGGAGGUAUCAGAAGUGCGAAUGCUGACAUAAGUAACGAUAAUGCGGGUGAAAAACCCGCACGCCGGAAGACCAAGGGUUCCUGUCCAACGUUAAUCGGGGCAGGGUGAGUCGACCCCUAAGGCGAGGCCGAAAGGCGUAGUCGAUGGGAAACAGGUUAAUAUUCCUGUACUCGGUGUUACUGCGAAGGGGGGACGGAGAAGGCUAUGUUGGCCGGGCGACGGUUGUCCCGGUUUAAGCAUGUAGGCGGAUGUUCCAGGUAAAUCCGGAACGUUAUUAACGCUGAGGUGUGAUGACGAGGCACUACGGUGCUGAAGUGACAAAUGCCCUGCUUCCAGGAAAAGCCUCUAAGCAUCAGGUAACAUCAAAUCGUACCCCAAACCGACACAGGUGGUCAGGUAGAGAAUACCAAGGCGCUUGAGAGAACUCGGGUGAAGGAACUAGGCAAAAUGGUGCCGUAACUUCGGGAGAAGGCACGCUGAUAUGUAGGUGAAGUGGUUUACCCAUGGAGCUGAAAUCAGUCGAAGAUACCAGCUGGCUGCAACUGUUUAUUAAAAACACAGCACUGUGCAAACACGAAAGUGGACGUAUACGGUGUGACGCCUGCCCGGUGCCGGAAGGUUAAUUGAUGGGGUUAUCCGUAAGGAGAAGCUCUUGAUCGAAGCCCCGGUAAACGGCGGCCGUAACUAUAACGGUCCUAAGGUAGCGAAAUUCCUUGUCGGGUAAGUUCCGACCUGCACGAAUGGCGUAAUGAUGGCCAGGCUGUCUCCACCCGAGACUCAGUGAAAUUGAACUCGCUGUGAAGAUGCAGUGUACCCGCGGCAAGACGGAAAGACCCCGUGAACCUUUACUAUAGCUUGACACUGAACACUGGUCCUUGAUGUGUAGGAUAGGUGGGAGGCUUUGAAGUGUGGACGCCAGUCUGCAUGGAGCCAUCCUUGAAAUACCACCCUUUAAUGGCUGGUGUUCUAACGUGGGCCCGUUAUCCGGGUUGCGGACAGUGUCUGGUGGGUAGUUUGACUGGGGCGGUCUCCUCCUAAAGAGUAACGGAGGAGCACGAAGGUCAGCUAAUCCUGGUCGGACAUCAGGAGGUUAGUGCAAUGGCAUAAGCUGGCUUGACUGCGAGCGUGACGGCGCGAGCAGGUGCGAAAGCAGGUCAUAGUGAUCCGGUGGUUCUGAAUGGAAGGGCCAUCGCUCAACGGAUAAAAGGUACUCCGGGGAUAACAGGCUGAUACCGCCCAAGAGUUCAUAUCGACGGCGGUGUUUGGCACCUCGAUGUCGGCUCAUCACAUCCUGGGGCUGAAGUAGGUCCCAAGGGUAUGGCUGUUCGCCAUUUAAAGUGGUACGCGAGCUGGGUUUAGAACGUCGUGAGACAGUUCGGUCCCUAUCUGCCGUGGGCGCUGGAGAAUUGAGGGGGGCUGCUCCUAGUACGAGAGGACCGGAGUGGACGCAUCACUGGUGUUCGGGUUGUCAUGCCAAUGGCAUUGCCCGGUAGCUAAAUGCGGAAGAGAUAAGUGCUGAAAGCAUCUAAGCACGAAACUUGCCCCGAGAUGAGUUCUCCCUGACUCCUUGAGAGUCCUGAAGGAACGUUGAAGACGACGACGUUGAUAGGCCGGGUGUGUAAGCGCAGCGAUGCGUUGAGCUAACCGGUACUAAUGAACCGUGAGGCUUAACCUU